AGUUGAGAGGGACGACGUUUUAACUUUGACGGAAGUCAAAAUGACCAUUGGCGAAUGGCAAGUCAAUGGCGCCUCUCCGGGGUCUGAGACCA
rfam:Delta proteobacterium NaphS2 ctg_1101087565618, whole genome shotgun sequence.